CCCGCCCUUAGAAGUGCUGCAGGUGUGGCUGCUUUGUCACAUGUCAGUCAGUAGGUGGCAGAGAGAAGAGAGGCUAUGUCUAAUCUCAGUGUUUUGACUUAUCAACAUCUGGAUGAUUAGUAGCCUAACGUU